UACGGAGGGUGCAAGCGUUGUCCGGAUUUAUUGGGUUUAAAGGGUGCGUAGGUGGCCCGUUAAGUCCGGGGUGAAAGCCCGUUGCUCAACAACGGAACUGCCCUGGAUACUGGCGGGCUUGAGAGUAGUGGAGGGCGGCGGAAUAGAAGCUGUAGCGGUGAAAUGCAUAGAUAGCUUCUAGAACCCCGAUUGCGAAGGCAGCUGCCUACGCUACAUCUGACACUGAGGCACGAAAGCGUGGGGAGCGAACAGG
rnacentral:rRNA from 1 species